GAUGAACGCUAGCGGCAGGCUUAACACAUGCAAGUCGAGGGGCAGCACGGGUAGCAAUAUCUGGUGGCGACCGGCGCAAGGGUGCGUAACGCGUGAGCAACAUGCCCGUAUCAGGGGAAUAAUCCAGGGAAACUUGGUCUAAUACCCCAUAGUAAAUAUUAAAGGCAUCUUUAAUAUUUUAAAGCUUUGGUGGAUACGGAUUGGCUCGCGUGACAUUAGCUAGAUGGUAAGGUAACGGCUUACCAUGGCUACGAUGUCUAGGGGUUCUGAGAGGAAGAUCCCCCACACUGGAACUGAGACACGGUCCAGACUCCUACGGGAGGCAGCAGUGAGGAAUAUUGGACAAUGGAUGGAAAUCUGAUCCAGCCAUGCCGCGUGCAGGAAGACGGCCCUAUGGGUUGUAAACUGCUUUUAUAUGGGAGCAAUAAGGCCUACGAGUAGGUUGAUGAGAGUACCAUAUGAAUAAGCACCGGCUAACUCCGUGCCAGCCGCCGCCGUAA
rnacentral:rRNA from 1 species